UCUCCGUAGGUGAACCUGCGGAAGGAUCAUUACCGAGUGAGGGCCCUCUGGGUCCAACCUCCCACCCGUGUUUAUCGUACCUUGUUGCUUCGGCGGGCCCGCCUCACGGCCGCCGGGGGGCACCCGCCCCCGGGCCCGCGCCCGCCGAAGACACCAUUGAACGCUGUCUGAAGAUUGCAGUCUGAGCAUCUUAGCUAAAUCAGUUAAAACUUUCAACAACGGAUCUCUUGGUUCCG
rnacentral:misc_RNA from 1 species